rnacentral:pre_miRNA from 1 species
UAUGGCUUUUUAUUCCUAUGUGAUUGUGACAUGAUCUCAUGUAGGGAGAGAAGCCAUGAA